UUAAAUCUGGUUCACAUCCAUUCGUUACCAUACAUGGUACGGCCAUGUGUUUUUCCGCCCCACACACGUUGCACACAUGGUACAUCUAACACUCUGUGGUAGGUCAUAAUAAUAUAUAUAGUUAUGUUAAAUCUGGUUCACAUCCAUUCGUGACAGAAACGUUACCAUACCUGGUACGGCCAUGUGUAUCCCACAUCCAAACAAAAAUAUCACACACACACACACCCACCCCCGCACACCCACACACACACCCACACACACACACACCGCCACACACACACACACACACAAACACACACGUGCACGUACAGACAAACGCAUGCAUACGAACCUGCUUAUAAAAGUCGAGCAUCCCUCUAGGUUUUAUAAUACUCUGUACUUAGAACAACGUGUGCGAUCUUACAACAUGGCUGAUGUUUGUCCUAACGCGCCGAAAAAAGCUCACCCUUUUUUGGGAAGAAUAGAAAAAAUGUUAGAACAUGAAAAGAUUCAAUAUUGGGUAAUGUCAAACGGAUGUACAGCCGGGUUUUUUUUCGAUGCAGAAAAAGGAACCGUUUUGCUUUUCAAGUUCUCGGUCCCGGGACACACGAUCUUUUCCUUUCACGUAGAAUAUGAAGCACUCCGAGUCAGGCCUAGGUCAAAAGGUCAACAACGUAAAACCCCCGUUCUGAUGCAUUCCCGAGCACAAACACACCCCACACACACACACUCGAAUGCAUACGAACCUGUUUAUAAAGUCGAGCACUUCGAAAGUUUUAACAUCGGAAAAGGUUCGACCGAAUUUCCAGAGUCAGUUCUUCACUACUUCGAAAGUUUGAACAUCGGCAAAGUUCAACAGAAUUUCCAGAGUCUAUCCUUCACUACUUCCAGACACCAUGGAUUUCUCGGCAGGUAAAAAUUUGUAUUUUAAUCAAUUAAUAGUUAAAUAUAAAUUGAAAUACAAUGUUUAUGUAAUUAUCCAGUAGGCAAUGAUAUUGAUAUAAACUUAGAACUAAUCAUUCUGAGUACAAAAAUCAUCAUCCUUAUCUGGUCAUUAUGUAAUCUGGUACGAUACUUUAUCUAAAUUGUAAAUAUUCAUUACAUUUAUAUUACAGUGCAAGACCGAGUUAAGCGCAUCUGAUUCUAGUGUAUAGACAGCUUGGUGAUUAUUUCUGAUGAUGAGAUUCCCGAAACAACCACUCAUGACCUUUUGAAUCUGAGUUCCACACAAUUUGAGGGAAACGUGACUAACAGUGAUUAUGACGGAGAUAUUUCAGAUACGAGUGAUGCAAUAGAAGACCAAGAGGAAAUCAUCUCGGAAACCGACAUUCAACAAGACAUCGAACUACAACAGAUCUGCGCAGUGUGGCGUGAAUUCUUCGAAGCAAAGACUGAUUUAUUGGAAAACUUUGGACAGAUUGAU